rnacentral:lncRNA from 1 species
CUGGGUUUAGUAGUAGACUGUCAGGGGAGAGUGGUCUGGGGUUAGUAGUAGACUGUCAGGGGAGAGUGGUCUGGGGUUAGUAGUAGACUGUCAGGGGAGAGUGGUCUGGAGUUAGCAGUAGACUGUCAGGGGUGAGUGGCAUGGGGUUAGCAGUAGACUGUCGGGGAGAGUGGUCUGAGGUUAGUAGUAGACUGUCAGGGGAGAGUGGUCUGAGGGUAGCAGUAGACUGUCAGGGGAGAGUGGUCUGAGGGUAGCAGUAGACUGUCAGGGGAGAGUGGUCUGAGGUUAGUAGUAGACUGUCAGGGGAGAGUGGUCUGGGUUUAGUAGUAGACUGUCAGGGGAGAGUGGUCUGGGGUUAGUAGUACACUGUCAGGGGAGAGUGGUCUGGGGUUAGUAGUAGACUGUCAGGGGAGAGUGGUCUGGGGUUAGUAGUAGACUGUUGAGGAGAGUGGUCUGGGGUUAGCAGUAGACUGUCAGGGGAGAGUGGUCUGGGGUUAGCAGUAGACUGUCAGGGGAGAGUGGUCUGGGGUUAGUAGUAGACUGUCAGGGGAGAGUGGUCUGGGGUUAGUAGUAGACUGUCAGGGGAGAGUGGUCUGGGGUUAGCAGUAGACUG